GAUGAACGCUGGCGGCAUGCCUAAUACAUGCAAGUCGAGCGGCCGCAGGAGAAUCUUGCUUCUCUGAUGUUCGCGGCGGACGGGUGAGUAACACGUGUAUACCCUACCUAUAAGACUGGGGUAACUUCGGGGAACCGGAGCUAAUACCGGCUGAUAUUUUGUACCGCAUGGUUCAUUUGUGAAUGACGCUCUUGCUGUCCCUUAUAGAUGUAUCCGCGCUUCAUUAGCUAGUUGGUAUGGUAACGGCUUACCACGGCAACGAUGCAUAGCCGACCUGACAGGGGGAUCGGCCAAAUUGGAACUGAGACGCGGUCCAGACCCCUACGGUAGGCAGCAGAAGGGAAUCGUACGCUAGGGGCGAAAGCCUGACGGAGCCACGCCGCGCGGGGUAGGAAGGUCUUGGGAUCGGAAAACUCUGUUAUUAGGGAAGAACACAAGUCUAAUGAACUGUGACCAACUUGACGGUACCUAAUCAGAAAGCAACGGCUAACUACGUG
rnacentral:rRNA from 1 species